UUGAGUCUCGUAGAGGGGGGUAGAAUUCCAGGUGUAGCGGUGAAAUGCGUAGAGAUCUGGAGGAAUACCGGUGGCGAAGGCGGCCCCCUGGACGAAGACUGACGCUCAGGUGCGAAAGCGUGGGGAGCAAACAGGAUUAGAUACCCUGGUAGUCCACGCCGUAAACGAUGUCGACUUGGAGGUUGUGCCCUUGAGGCGUGGCUUCCGGAGCUAACGCGUUAAG
rnacentral:rRNA from 1 species